AUGAACGCUAGCGACAGGCCUAACACAUGCAAGUCAGGGGCAGCACAAGGAGCAAUCUGAGGUGGCGACCGGCGCACGGGUGAGUAACACGUAUGCAACCUGCCUGUAAGCGGGGAAUAACCCGUUGAAAGACGGACUAAUACCGCAUAAUACUAAAUUACUGCAUGGUAAUUUAUUUAAACAUUUAUGGCUUACAGAUGGGCAUGCGCAUGAUUAGCUAGUUGGAGAGGUAACGGCUCCCCAAGGCAACGAUCAUUAGGGGUUCUGAGAGGAAGGUCCCCCACACUGGUACUGAGACACGGACCAGACUCCUACGGGAGGCAGCAGUGAGGAAUAUUGGUCAAUGGACGAGAGUCUGAACCAGCCAAGUCGCGUGCAGGAAGAAUGUCCUUAAUGGAUUGUAAACUGCUUUUGCAGGGGGAAUAAAGUGCAUCACGUGUGAUGUUUUGUAUGUACUCUGCGAAUAAGGAUCGGCUAACUCCGUGCCAGCAGCAGC
rnacentral:rRNA from 1 species